AUGAUGGGCUUCGCAUGCAAAAUUUGGGGGGAGGGGGGAGAGACGAGCAAAUUAAUACCUUUAAUCCUGAAACGCCUCCUGGUUCCCUAUUCCUCACACUGCGACACGCGCAGUCAUCCUCCCUCCCUGCGCGAGGGCUGCCCGCUGCAUUCAGGAAACUUCCCGAGGGGCCGCUGCCCGCGUUUCCGCCGCACCUGCCCGCGGCCCCGGGCGGACAGCGCUGCUCCGUGUGCCCCGGGGCACCGCGGAAGCGGCGGGAUCCCGGCACUUCCCCGCGCUCCCGCCCCGGAGCAUCGCCCGGAGCCGGCGACAGAUCCCGCACCGGCACCCCCCGGUCGCCCAGCACCCCCGCAGCCCCCCGGCCAGAUACGGCUGCCCUUCCCCGCCGGCGAUGCUGAAUCACGGCGGGCGGCCGCUCCGCCGCCUCUCCCCGGGGGUGGCAGCCUGUCCCCCGCCGCCGGAGGAGGAGGUGUCGCGCCCCGCCGGUCCCCCACCCUGACCUCACCUGCCGGGGCGCGGGCGGGCAGUCCUGGAGCGCUCCGGUGCUCGCCGGCGGCGCGUGCUGCGCCUCACGGGCGGCGCGAUCCCGGGAGGGGCGAUCCCGGGCGGCAGCAUCCGCGCCGGGCACGGGCGGGAGGAGGAGCGGGAGGUUACGGCGGGGAGCCGGGACAAACCAUUCCCUGCGAGGGGGCACCGCCAGCGGCCGGGCGGGGCGGGGGAGCACGGGCCCUCCCACACAGGUACGUGCGAGGAUUGCGCCCGAAGGGCGGCGGGCGGCGUCCGCGGAGCGGGGCGGGCGGCGCCACGGGUGGGAGCGGCGCCACGGGUGGGAGCAGCCCCACGGGUGGGAGCAGCGCCGCCGGUCCGCCGGUGGCCCCCCUCCGCUCGCGGUGGAGCGGCCCGCGCUGUCUUUCUGCCCGAGGACGCGAGCGGACCCGGCGGCCGCGCGGGCAGCGCCCGGGCCGGCCCGUGGCCGCCGGGAGGAGCGGGGUGCGCCGCCCUCAGGGCCGGCUGCGGCCGCCUCCCUUCGGCCCCUCCGAGCCGCGGGAGCCGGGGCCGGCUCCGGCUGCCGGGAAGUGCCUCGGGAACCCUGCGGAGCGCUCCCCGGCCGAGGAUCCCCGGGGGCGCCCCGAGCGCGCCCCGCCGUGA
rnacentral:lncRNA from 1 species